rnacentral:rRNA from 1 species
GACGAACGCUGGCGGCGUGCCUAAUACAUGCAAGUAGAACGCUGAAGAGAGGCGCUUGCUCUUCUUGGAUGAGUUGCGAACGGGUGAGUAACGCGUAGGUACCCUGCCUUGUAGCGGGGGAUAACUAUUGGAAACGAUAGCUAAUACCGCAUAACAAUGGAUGACACAUGUCAUUUAUUUGAAAGGGGCAAUUGCUCCACUACAAGAUGGACCUGCGUUGUAUUAGCUAGUAGGUGAGGUAACGGCUCACCUAGGCGACGAUACAUAGCCGACCUGAGAGGGUGAUCGGCCACACUGGGACUGAGACACGGCCCAGACUCCUACGGGAGGCAGCAGUAGGGAAUCUUCGGCAAUGGGGGCAACCCUGACCGAGCAACGCCGCGGGAGUGAAGAAGGUUUUCGGAUCGUAAAGCUCUGUUGUAAGUCAAGAACGAGUGUGAGAGUGGAAAGUUCACACUGUGACGGUAGCUGACCAGAAAGGGACGGCUAACUACGUG